rnacentral:rRNA from 1 species
UACAGAGGUCCCAAGCGUUGUUCGGAUUCACUGGGCGUAAAGGGUGCGUAGGCGGUCGGAUAAGUCUGAUGUGAAAUCUUCGAGCUCAACUCGGAAACUGCAUCGGAAACUAUUCGGCUGGAGGAUUGGAGGGGAGACUGGAAUUCUCGGUGUAGCAGUGAAAUGCGUAGAUAUCGAGAGGAACACCUGCGGCGAAGGCGGGUUGCUGGGCUGACACUGACGCUGAGGCGCGAAAGCCAGGGGAGCGAACGGG